rnacentral:rRNA from 1 species
UACGUAGGGUGCAAGCGUUGUCCGGAAUUAUUGGGCGUAAAGAGCUCGUAGGCGGUGUGUCAAGUCAGGCGUGAAAGCCCCGGGCUCAACCUGGGAACAGCGCUUGAGACUGGCACGCUCGAGUUCGGGAGAGGAUGGUGGAAUUCCCAGUGUAGAGGUGAAAUUCGUAGAUAUUGGGAAGAACACCGAUGGCGAAGGCAGCCAUCUGGACCGACACUGACGCUGAGGCGCGAAAGCGUGGGGAGCAAACAGG